rnacentral:rRNA from 1 species
CGGAGGGUGCAAGCGUUAUCCGGAUUCACUGGGUUUAAAGGGUGCGUAGGUGGGCAGGUAAGUCAGUGGUGAAAUCUCCGGGCUUAACCCGGAAACUGCCAUUGAUACUAUCUGUCUUGAAUACCCUGGAGGUGAGCGGAAUAUGUCAUGUAGCGGUGAAAUGCUUAGAUAUGACAUAGAACACCCAUUGCGAAGGCAGCUCACUACGGGAAUAUUGACACUGAGGCACGAAAGCGUGGGGAUCAAACAGGAUUAGAUAACCCUGGUAGUCCACGCCCUAAACGAUGGAUACUCGACAUCAGCGAUAAACUGUUGGUGUCUGAGCAAAAGCAUUAAGUAUCCCACCUGGGAAGUACGAUCGCAAGAUUG